UACAGAGGGUGCAAGCGUUGUUCGGAAUUAUUGGGCGUAAAGGGAGUGUAGGCGGUUUGAUAAGUCUUCUGUGAAAUCUACGGGCUUAGCCAGUAACGUGCAGAGGAAACUGUCAGACUUGAGUGUCGGAGAGGAUAGGGGAAUACCCAGUGUAGAGGUGAAAUUCGUAGAGAUUGGGUGGAACACCAGUGGCGAAGGCGCCUGUCUGGCUGACAACUGACGCUGAGACUCGAAAGCAUAGGGAGCAAACAGG
rnacentral:rRNA from 1 species